GGGGGACGAGGAGGGCUGCACAAGACGAAAAACCAGAGGCAGCAUUAGGGAUUUAGGGUAUGCAAAAGAUACGGAUCUGGACAUGGGAAGCGGAUCGAAGAGUGAUGGCAGAGUAGAUUGUUGAUCUCAUCGCGGCUGGAGAAGAGGGCUUCCUGGCUCGUUGAAACCCUAGACAGACAAGAUGGGGCCUUGCAGAAGAAGACAUGGAAUGGGGGGUUGGGAUUUAUGGGGUGGGGGGACGUGAUUGGCCUCCGACGACACUUUCUAAAGCAUCGUCUUAGUUAUGAGGCCUCCGACGAUACUUUGUGAAGCGUUGUCUUGGGAAAAAACUAGACCGGGGAGGAUGAGGCCUCCGACGACGCUUCUAAAGCAUCACGUUAACGCAUGGUGGGUGGGCUUCUGACGAUGCUUUUACUCAUAAGCAUCGUCUAAUCUAGAUUUCUUCUGACACUACUAAGAAGCAUCAGCAAAUUUUGGCGCAAUGACCAAAUUGCCGAUGCUUCUUCCUUGCGUCGGAAACUAAGAGUCAGG
rnacentral:lncRNA from 1 species